rnacentral:lncRNA from 1 species
UUUCUUGUUGCAAUUGGUGGAGUUGAAGUGUUCUCCAUGUUGGCAAAUUCCGUUCCAGCGAUUUGGAAUUGCUCCCAUGUUUUUAUCAUUAAAACUCUCCAACUCUGGCCAAACUCCUGUGAAAUCCAACAUCAAGCAAUGUAUCUGAUGUUUUGAGCAGAAUGGACGGGCAUUAUGUGAGAUCAUGUCUUACACUCUUACCUGAAUCUAUGACACCAAUUAUUGUUUCUGCACCCAUGUUGCUUUCUGAUAAUAGAUUUCCUGGAUAGUGGGAAGGAACUCCAAGAAAAUCCCAGCUUCUGGUAGUAUGGAGCUUGUGUAUACGAUUUGGAAUCACUUGCAUGACACCAGGUAACUCUGUAAUAAAAAAAUAUGCUCAUCUUUCAGAAUAUAACAUACAUAUAUGAAGCAAGUUUUAUAAAGCUGCACAUUAGGUACCUGCAAUUAGUUCUGCCUGAGAUUUGGUCAACAUUGCAGCAAACCCGGAAAACCCAUGCUUGUAGCUGUAGAGCAUUGAAGUUUUGGCUGCUUCUUUGCUUAAAUACAUUCAGGUAAAUUUUAUCAUCUUGAUACUUUUAAGCAUAAUGAAACUUUUUGAUGUUAGUAGUAAGAAGCAGGGUCUCAUAAAUUUACCUUCCCAGGAACGAUGAUAGCAUUUGAUGAUGGACCCUUGUGGUAAUUGAUGAAUCUUCGUGUUGUUUCUGUCCCAUGUACACUAUGUAGACCUGCAGCAAUUUUACAGUCAUCAUUGCUCUCUCUAAAUAAUAACAUCCUGAACAAGGUAAGAAACACAUCAAGACACUCACAUUGCUUCUGGCAUUUACUAAUGAGGCUGAGAGCAAAUGGAUGUGGACUAAGAUGAUGAGUCCAAGGAGCACAGCAGGCUGGUUUUUGCUUUCGCUUCUCCAUUGUUGUGAACAGCUAGCCAUCAAUCAGUUUGAAGAGAAGAAGCUGUUAGAACUUUUUGGUGCUCUUCAUACAAGGUUGUGUUGUACACAUAUAUAUGCUCGAUUUAGCAGCUCCUGGUAAGACUUUUUUUUCCUACUCAAUCUGGUGUAAAGCAAGUCAAGCUGUGUUUGAUCCUCCGACAGGAUAGAUAGUUUUAAUAUGUCCCAGCGUCGCUAAUGGUCUAGUCAACCUGAAUGGCCUCAAAUCCUCACAAGUCUGGGGUAGUGUCUUCUUUUAUGUCUAUGUUUGAAAACUGUAGGUUUGUGUAGGGGUUACAUACUUUUUCUUAACUUACAGUAUAACUUUGGCCCUAGGAAAUCAUACAUGUAAUGAGUGUCCAUAAAGCAAAUUUUGGAUGGAGUGAUUACGUAAUUAUGUGUCACCUUUCGCAACAUUAGGUCACAAAGAACUAGCAUAAGGGUGACACAGUGAUUUACCGUAUAUCAGUUGAGCCUCAUUUUAUUAUAUUAUUAUACAAAAUAAUCAUGAUUUGCCUGCUUCCAAGUAUCUGAUGAUUGUUCAUUCUAAUUGCCUACAUUAAACCCAAUAUUUGUCUUAUGCUGCAGGAUUGCCCAUUCAUUAUAAAACUGAUUACAAUUGAAGGACUUCACCUUCGCAUUGAGCAAGCCAGAUGAAUGCCGACAGACUAUGUAAUGUCUGGAGUAAGGUCCUUUGUGAGUGGUCUGUGCCUUCUUGCUCACUUGUGCGACAAAAGUAGGGAAAAAGUACUAUACACCUAAAUUUUACGAUAUUGUUUGAAGUGAGAGAGUAGAGAGAACAAAAGGGAUGGAUUCCUAUUCCAUUAUUGUCGUGCUUUUGCUUUCUCUGAUUUCUCUUUUCCUUUUAGUGGGAGUUUUCAAAAGGAAGUGUAUAAAAGGUUACUCUGACUGUAUGGAAUCUGAGACUGCUAUCAUAUGGUUAGAUAGAGGAAUAUCAUUUAUGAAAAUCAUUAGUUAUAGGUAUUGGAGAAUAAUACUUGUGGCCUUUGCACAUAAAUUGCUUCCUGCCUGC